rnacentral:rRNA from 1 species
AUUGAACGCUGGCGGCAGGCCUAACACAUGCAAGUCGAGCGGAUGAAGGGAGCUUGCUCCUGGAUUCAGCGGCGGACGGGUGAGUAAUGCCUAGGAAUCUGCCUUGUAGUGGGGGAUAACGUCCGGAAACGGGCGCUAAUACCGCAUACGUCCUGAGGUAGAAAGUGGGGGAUCUUCGGACCUCACGCUAUCAGAUGAGCCUAGGUCGGAUUAGCUAGUUGGUGGGGUAAAGGCCUACCAAGGCGACGAUCCGUAACUGGCCUGAGAGGAUGAUCAGUCACACUGGAACUGAGACACGGUCCAGACUCCUACGGGAGGCAGCAGUGGGGAAUAUUGGACAAUGGGCGAAAGCCUGAUGCAGCCACGCCGCGUGUGUGAAGAAGGUCUUCGGAUUGUAAAGCACUUUUAGUUGGGAGGAAGGGCAGUAAGUUAAUACCUUGCUGUUUUGACGGUACCAACAGAAUAAGCACCGGCUAACUUCGUG